AAUUUAGAAUUCUUUCUUAUCUCAAGGGUGUAUCCUAGUGUAGCAAAUCUGGCUUAUGGAGAUUUUUUAUUUCUUUUUGCUUGUUUUUUGGUUUUGUUUUGUUUCCUUUUUAGAUAGGAAUGAAGGAACUUGUAGGAUUCUGAAGAAAAACAGACAUGUGAUAUCUACAAAGGUUCUUCCUAUGAAGAGAAAUUACACUGCAUUUUGUAGACCUUGAUACCUCUCCUUUAAUGAAAAUUUGGGUUGAAUAAGACUGAGUUUCUUUGAGUUUCUGGAUUUCUCUGCCAGUGAGUCCAUAACUGUCUUCAUUGCAGCAGCUGACUGUGCUCUUGAGAGAUGGGGCGGAAUGGAGAAAAGUAACAGCAGAAAUGUUAGGAAUGGAAGUUAAAGGUUGAGAAUUCAAGAGGACUGCAGAUUCACAGUUCCAGGUUUUCGCUUGUAAUGGCCUACAGCACUACUGCAGGCUUCCUGAUGGAGAAACAAAUUUGUGCCAGCUUGCUGAAUAACCUCCGUAAUGUUCAGCCGAUCAGAACUUCUCCAUCUGUGUGUCCAUCCAUCCAAAGAACCAGAUGCUCUGAAAAACACUUCAUCCACCCCUCCUGAUGCAUCCAUAUCUGAAAUAUGUUGCUACCAUAACUGCAGUUUUCAGCCCUACAAGCAAAGCCAGCUACUGACCUAUCUGGAGCUCUCAAUUGUUUAGUCACCUGCUCAGAGAAAAUGAAAUCACUAACUGGGAGCAUCAAUAAUAAAAACUCAUAGAAAGAAACUAUUUCACCAAGGCCUAAGUCCAGACAAUAAGUGGAUUUCACCAGGAUGGGAAGCUAAGAUAAAUAUUCCGUGAUGCAAGCACUGGAACUUCUGCUUUGGGCAACUAUUUACUGCUGAAACAUCUGCAUAAGCUGAAGUUACUGACUCCCAACUGUUUGUUACCAUUACUCCUCUGCCAAAAAUUGCUACCCCAUAGAACAUGGUGUUGCUCAGCCAGUAGAAUGGAUCACAUAGGCAUUCCCUGCCUCAGCUGUUUCAGUAUAAAGUUAGCUUGUUAAUUUAAAUUCUACUUCUCAUACAUUUUACAGAAUGAAGUAGUAGAAUUUCUGCUGAAGAUUCAGUUCAGUGUUCAAUAUUAAAUACAUUUUGCAAAAUUUUAAGAAUUGAGCACAAAGCCCAUAGGGCUUUUAAGCUCAUCUUGAUGUUUGCCUGAACCUUCCUAUCCUGAAGCAGCCUUAAAAUGUUGGUAUUAUUAGUUUUCAAGUGAUUUGCUUAAUUAGAGCUAACAUAAAUCUUUGUUGCCAGGUAUGAACAGCUGCUGCAGAGAGAAUCAAGAGCAAAACUCAAUGAGAUUCUUAUGGCAGCAGAAAAGAUAUCAGGAGUGGCCACAACACUACACAGCACUGUUCCGCAGCUACUUGUUAAUGCUUUUAUGCUGUGUUGAUAUAAAUAGGCACAUAGAAUCUAACAGAAAUGCUCAAGUAGUAAAUCUGCAAUUCUGUCAGGAGCUUAUUCUCCAUCUUAAACUUGACCUUUCCUCAAAGCUUCCAUCUAGAAACUGCAACAUAAUUGUUUUGUAUCCAGAACUGAUGAAGAAUUUGGAUUCCAGUGCAAAACAGACAUGCAGAUAUGGGGACAUAAGAAUUUUAACUAUAUGCACAGCUUGCACAUCAGUUUUUACAUCUGUCUCAUACUGAUGCGAUAAAUUGACUAAGAAGUCCUGUCAAAAAACUGAGUAGCUAUGAGGAACAGGAUGGAGUUAGAACUGUAUUAUAAUGUCUUCUCCAUUUGGAAACCUUUGGCUAGAGGUGUAAGAUUAGUCCCUAGCAGUUGUAGUCAUCAUCAAGCUUCAAUGCCUUUGCAUCAUGAAACUGUACCCUCUUUUAGAAAUAGCAAUAAUCUCUAGUUCCAAACUGCAUCACAUGAAUACAGCAUUAAAAGUUU
rnacentral:lncRNA from 1 species